rfam:Ictidomys tridecemlineatus contig094622, whole genome shotgun sequence.
GGGGUUGUGGCUCAGUGGUAGAGCGCUUGCCUGGCAUGUGUAAGGCACUGGGUUCUAUUCUCAACACCA